GGCCAUUGAAACAACUCUGAAAGAAUCUUAGAGGCAAUCAAUUUCGAUGACUCCUUCCUUCUGGAGUAAACUUGGAUACCAGUUAAAGAAAGUUGCGGAUGAUGCAAUAAGGAGACUAUAAGCUGGAUUCUGGGGCUCCAGGCCUGUUCCUUCUGCAUGGCUAAGAGGAGAACCCUUCGGUGAGCACCUUGUUGCUCUCAUCCCACUUGCCUGAUGUGCAUUGAGAUGCUUGUUCCUUGAUUCAGGGCCCUAAUUAUCAAGCCUAGGAAUUUGCUCAUGCAAUUGCUGCAUGCCGAGUCUUUGAGAAUGAGUCUUUGCUUGUUAAUCUCUGAUUGCAUGUGCCCUUCUUCAGUGGGACUACAGGAUUUUCUACCAACAGUCUCUCUACUGAGCUCUUUCUAGGUAGAGGCCUAAGCACAAAGAAUGCCCAGUGUUAGCUGGUGGAUUCCUGUGCAAUGCUUCUGAUGGUUGACAGAGUUAUUAGGAAUGUCAAACAUCAGGUAGGUUCAACCCUGAACAAUUUCAUUAAUUAUCUACGCAGAUUCAUAUACCGAAGUCUGUGUUUUUCAUGAUCUUAAAGUACCAUGGUUUUCAUAGCUCUGUAAAGUAAAAUCUUUUCACUUCUGCCCUCUCAAAAUUGCCAAAAGGAAGCAUCUAUUUCUUUUUGCCAGGCAACAUGCACUGGGACAUUAUACCAAUCAGUAAAGGGUUAUUGAUUAGAGGGGCCUAGGAUUUAUACUUCUGCCUGCCUUACUGGUGAGAAAUCUGGUGUCACAAGUGAUUAAGCACUUUUUGGAGGUCACACAGCUAGUAGGUGCUGGAAUCAGAAUGCCAUGUCUGUCUGACUCCAACGUCCCUGAACCGCAUAUUAAGAUAAAGUAUUCUGGGGAAUAUUUAUGGUAACAGGAUAUUCAUUUGACAGCAUGGUCAAAUGGUAUGCAAACAAAAAUGGCAUCCUGUAAGAAUUUUUCAUGUAGAUAGCCAGGAACCCUAUGGAUCUCUGGCCUCAAGCAAGAAGAGAAGUGGGACUUAUGAAGAGGAUUCUGUGGCACUGUAUCCUUACCUCUUCCCUAGUGGGUUUAGGUUUUCUUUUUCCUUGUUCCGUAAAUGAAAUACAGACAAGUGACAUGGCAUGGCUGUCUCUUGGCCUCAGUCCAGUAUGGAGGAUUCAGCGACACCCCUCAGAGAGGUUGCUAUUUAAUUGUGCAUCUGUUGGAGGCAUAAGGGGCUGGCACCUGACCCCUGCCUGAUGUGCUAAAGGGACUUCUGAGCUCAUGGGCUAGGGGGGAUGUGUUCAUUUAGCUUUCACUUCCAGAGUCCUUCAAACUAAUAUGCAUGCCCAGAUAACUUUAACGACUGGAUGAGACCAGCAGGAGGAAAACUUCCUGCCAUUUGGACUAUUGGCCUACAAAAUCUGCUGGGAUGAGGAAGAGACCCUAUCAGAGAGGCACCAGUGGAAAAUCAGUUGGAGGGACAGAAGAUACCACCAGUCUCUCAGGAGUUGCAGUUAGGGGCAAUCCAGCUCGCUGGCUUCCAGGAACUUAAGAAAAUGCCUUUUAGGAUGGCCUAAAAUGUUUUCAUGUCAGUACCAAUGACGUAAGAACUUUCUGUUCCUUUUUGCCUUCCUUUCCUGCUACUCUUCAGGUGGGGAGAUGUGUAACCACAGCAGGGCGAAUGAGGGAGGAGGACAGUUGAGAAAGCCAGUCACUUCCCUGUGUGUGCCCUCCAUUUCAAGACCACAAAAAGCAUGCCUUAGCUGGGGGUAGGGUAGGGAAGAAAAGUAGUCUUACCUUGGAAUUAAAACUGCCAAGAUUUAGUAUUGCACUCGACAUUUAGUUUUGUCACCUGAGGGAGCUGACAAGCUCCAUAAAUUACCCCAGCUAUCCAAGAUUAAUAACUUUAUACUGAAAGGAAGUAAAUACAUACAUAUGUGUGUGUGUGUGUGUGUAUACACACACUUUAAGUCAGGGUCUUGCUGUGUCACUUGGUUUAGAGUGCACUGGCACAAUCAUGGCUCCCUGCAGCGUCAAACUCCUGGGCUCAAGUGAUUUUCCCACUUCAGCUUCCCAAGUAGUUGGGACCAUAGGCAUGUGCCACCAUUUUUAGCUAAAUAUUUUGAGAGAUGGUUUCUCGCUAUGUUGGCUAGGCUGGUCUUAAACCCCUGGCCUCAAGCAAUCCUUCCACCUUGGCCUCCCAAAGAGCUGAGUUUACAAAUGUGAACCACCAUGCCCAGAAACAACAGAGACUUUUUAUUUUGAUUGGUGUACUUGAGCCAGUUCAGGGACAUCUGAUGGAUAUAGAAAGAGACAAAAGAUUUUUUGUAUAGUACAUUAAUUAAUGCUGUUAACACAAAGCACAUAAAAUCAGAAUGUUCUUCAUCAUAGUUUUGCCCUUUCCAUUGAUUGAUUGAUUGACUGAUUGCUACCCGAGCUUCAGUAUUGAGACAUGCUAUCUCUCUGUUCAGUGAUGCUGCCGGUACUGAGAUACGCUGUCUCUCUAUUCAGUGAUGCUGCCAUUGGUGUUUGUUGGACAAUAUUUCAUUGAACCUAAUUUGGAGGAAAAGAUGUUUAGCUGUAGAUAUAAUGAAGGGAAUGUCAGCUCUUUCCAGCCUGAUGUACUCCUGCUGCCGCGUCAUGGGCAGCAGGGGUAUUGCCUGCGUCGGCUGAGUUCAUCGGUUUUCUCCUUACUGUUGCCUUUGAUUUUGUCCUUUGGCAUAGAUUCCUCUCUCCACUCCAAAAACAUAUUCCAGAACUGAAUUCCUGCAAAAUUCUUUUAAUUCUUAAUGACCUCAAGUAAAACAUUCCCCUUUCCUUUCCUAACAAACUUCUCAUGAAAGUGAUACUAGCUUUCUCUAGUCGUUCUCAUGAAAUUGAUAACUGUCAUUCUCUAGUCCUUCUCAUUAAAGUGGUAACUAGCUUUCUCUAUUUCUUCUCCUCUGGUUACUUUCAUAUUCAUUGGAUCUCAUGCAUGGUACAGGUAUUCAGACCCAGGUCUUUGAUUUCAAAAUAACUGGCAAUGGAACAGCAGGAAAUAUCAAAUAUGUCCCCACUUGUUAAAAAGUCAUUUCUUGACAACUAUUAGGCAUCUGAGAUUAGUUAUCAAUCUACUGUCAAUGAUGGAGUGCAUCUAACAGGUUCAAAAUACUGACUUUAAGAACUCAUAGAAACAAUAGUACAAUGGUGGUUACCAGGGGCAGAGAGUGCAGGUGGAAGGAUGGGGAGAUGUUGGUUAAGGGGUACAAGGUUUAAAUUAGACAGCAGAAAUACGUUCAGGAGAUCCAUUUUACAACAUGGUGACUGAAGUUAAUAGUAAUUCAUUGUAUACUUGAAAUGUGGUAAGGGAGCAGAGCUUUAAUGUUCUUAAUCACAAAAACUGAGAAGUAUAUAAGGUGCUGGAUAUGUUAAUUGAUUUGAUGCAAUCAUUCUACAUUGUAUGCAUAUAAAGCACAGUGUUGGGAUUAUAAUUACUAGAGAGUGUUCCUCAUACUCUACAGCAGUGGUCCCCAACCUUUGGGACCAGUUUUGUCAAAGACAAUUUCUCCCUGGACCUGGGGUGAGGGGUUAUGGUUUUGGAAUGAUUUAAAUGCAUUAUAUUUAUUGUGCACUUUUUUUCUAUUAUUAUAUUACAAUACAUAAUAAAAUAUUAUACAACUCACCAAAA